rnacentral:rRNA from 1 species
UACGAGGGGGGGCAAGCGUUGUUCGGAAUUAUUGGGCGUAAAAGAGCUCGUAGGCGGCUUGUCACGUCGAUUGUGAAAGCCCCGAGGCUUAACCUCGGGGUCUGCAGUCGAUACGGGGCUAGCUAGAGUGUGGUAGGGGAGAUCGGAAUUCCUGGUGUAGCGGUGAAAUGCGUAGAUAUCAGGAGGAACACCUGUGGCGAAAGCGGCUCACUGGACCAUAACUGACGCUGAUGCACGAAAGCUAGGGGAGCAAACAGG